CUGUGCUAGACGGGGAAUUAGCGGUGCCCUGUAACCUGCAACCCGCUAUAGCAGGGUCGAAUUCCCAUGCCGAGGUCUUAUCCUCCUCCGAUCCGGCUUUGGUAAGCGGCAAUGAUAGUCCGAGUCCUGUGCAACGGGAAACCGCCGAACCCCGUCAGGACCGGAAGGUAGCAGCGGUAAGCGGAUGGACCGUGUGCCGCAGGUUCACUUGGCUGGAGUCGGCUGCCGAAGACGAAACGGAGAUCUGGAGGAUCGGAGCUGGGUGCACAG
rnacentral:SRP_RNA from 1 species